ACGGAAGGCAGCAGUGGGGAAUAUUGCACAAUGGGCGAAAGCCUGAUGCAGCGACGCCGCGUGAGUGAAGAAGUAUUUCGGUAUGUAAAGCUCUAUCAGCAGGGAAGAAAAAUGACGGUACCUGACUAAGAAGCACCGGCUAAAUACGUGCCAGCAGCCGCGGUAAUACGUAUGGUGCAAGCGUUAUCCGGAUUUACUGGGUGUAAAGGGAGCGCAGGCGGUACGGCAAGUCUGAUGUGAAAGCCCGGGGCCCAACCCCGGUACUGCAUUGGAAACUGUCGAACUAGAGUGUCGGAGGGGUAAGCGGAAUUCCUAGUGUAGCGGUGAAAUGCGUAGAUAUUAGGAGGAACACCAGUGGCGAAGGCGGCUUACUGGACGAUAACUGACGCUGAGGCUCGAAAGCGUGGGGAGCAAACAGGAUUAGAUACCCUGGUA
rnacentral:rRNA from 1 species